rnacentral:tRNA from 1 species
GGUGUUAUGAUCAAGUGGUAUGAUACGUCGUUGUGGCCGAUGCAGCCUGGGUUCGAUUCCCAGUAACGCCA